UUGAUCCUGGCUCAGGAUGAACGCUGGCGGCGUGCCUAACACAUGCAAGUCGAGCGAUUUACUUCGGUAAAGAGCGGCGGACGGGUGAGUAACGCGUGGGUAACCUGCCCUGUACACACGGAUAACAUACCGAAAGGUAUGCUAAUACGAGAUAAUAUGCUUUUAUCGCAUGGUAGAAGUAUCAAAGCUCCGGCGGUACAGGAUGGACCCGCGUCUGAUUAGCUAGUUGGUAAGGUAACGGCUUACCAAGGCGACGAUCAGUAGCCGACCUGAGAGGGUGAUCGGCCACAUUGGAACUGAGACACGGUCCAAACUCCUACGGGAGGCAGCAGUGGGGAAUAUUGCACAAUGGGCGAAAGCCUGAUGCAGCAACGCCGCGUGAGCGAUGAAGGCCUUCGGGUCGUAAAGCUCUGUCCUCAAGGAAGAUAAUGACGGUACUUGAGGAGGAAGCCCCGGCUAACUACGUGCCAGCAGCCGCGGUAAUACGUAGGGGGCUAGCGUU
rnacentral:rRNA from 1 species